AUACGUAGGUUGCAAGCGUUGUCCGGAUUUACUGGGUGUAAAGGGCGUGUAGGCGGAUCUGCAAGUCAGAUGUGAAAUCCCGGGGCUCAACCCCGGAACUGCAUUUGAAACUGUAGACCUUGAGUAUCGGAGAGGCAAGCGGAAUUCCUAGUGUAGCGGUGAAAUGCGUAGAUAUUAGGAGGAACACCAGUGGCGAAGGCGGCUUGCUGGACGACAACUGACGCUGAGGCGCGAAAGCGGUGGGGAGC
rnacentral:rRNA from 1 species